GACGAACGCUGGCGGCGUGCUUAACACAUGCAAGUCGAACGGAAAGGCCCUGCUUUUGUGGGGUGCUCGAGUGGCGAACGGGUGAGUAACACGUGAGUAACCUGCCCUUGACUUUGGGAUAACUUCAGGAAACUGGGGCUAAUACCGGAUAGGAGCUCCUGCUGCAUGGUGGGGGUUGGAAAGUUUCGGCGGUUGGGGCUGGACUCGCGGCUUAUCAGCUUGUUGGUGAGGUAGUGGCUUACCAAGGCUUUGACGGGUAGCCGGCCUGGGAGGGUGACCGGCCACAUUGGGACUGAGAUACGGCCCAGACUCCUACGGGAGGCAGCAGUGGGGAAUAUUGCGCAAUGAGCGGAAGCCUGAUGCGGCAACGCCGCGUGCGGGAUGACGGCCUUCGGGUUGUAAACCGCUUUCGCCUUUGACGAAGAGUGAGUGACGGUAAUGGGUAAAGAAGCACCGGCUAACUACGUG
rnacentral:rRNA from 1 species